ensembl:lncRNA LINC01551 long intergenic non-protein coding RNA 1551
ACCACUUCAGCUUCUGCCAGACAGAUGGAACUCUCCAGCAUGAAAAUCUGCGCAGCCAUUCCAACAAGCAGGGCUCUGCCUGAGGUUGUCCGAAGGAUGCCGAGGAAAAGGAUAUCAGGACUGGAAUGGCUCUUACAGCAAGAUCCAUGGAGUCUCACGCUGUCACCCAGGCUGGAGUGCAGUGGCGCGAUCUCGACUCACUGCAAGCUCCGCCUCAUUCACAUCAUUCUCUUGCCUCAGCCUCCCGAGUAGCUGGGACUACAGGCGCCCCAUACCAGGCCCGGCUAAUUUUUUUUUUGUAUUUUUAGUACAGACGGGGUUUCACUGUGUUAGCCAGGAAGGUCUGGAUCUCCUGACCUCGUGAUCAGCGCGCAUCAGCUUCCCAAAGUGCUGGGAUUACACGUGUGAGCCACUGAGCCUGGCCCAUUUUUUUUUCUUUGUUUACUUGAUAAUAUUGCAAAUGUAAUUAAUGCUCCUAAUUCUUCUAGGGCAAAUCUACUCAUUUAAAGUGAGAUGGAGUAUUUCUGAAAUAAUUGGGGACAUAGGAUGAUUUAGAAUCCAGUUUAAUACUUGAGACAGUGUAUAUUUCUGAAUAAAUUUUUCCAAUAAAAACAAUCUGACUUUACU